rnacentral:rRNA from 1 species
UAACCGGAUUAGAUACCCUGGUAGUCCAUGCCGUAAACGUUGGGCACUAGGUGUGGGGGACAUUCCACGUUUUCCGCGCCGUAGCUAACGCAUUAAGUGCCCCGCCUGGGGAGUACGGCCGCAAGGCUAAAACUCAAAGAAAUUGACGGGGGCCCGCACAAGCGGCGGAGCAUGCGGAUUAAUUCGAUGCAACGCGAAGAACCUUACCAAGGCUUGACAUGAACCGGAAAGACGUAGAAAUACGUCCCCCACUUGUGGUCGGUUUACAGGUGGUGCAUGGUUGUCGUCAGCUCGUGUCGUGAGAUGUUGGGUUAAGUCCCGCAACGAGCGCAACCCUCGUUCUAUGUUGCCAGCACGUGAUGGUGGGGACUCAUAGGAGACUGCCGGGGUCAACUCGGAGGAAGGUGGGGAUGACGU